UCUCACUCACCAAAGUAAUCGGCCUUCGGGUGAGCAUCCAUCUCACGCUCCAGACGUUGGGUGAGGGCUUCUAACUUCAAUUCGGCAGCCGUGGGUCCAAGCUCAGGGCCCGGGAGGAGGGUCUGGCAAGGCAGCCUCACCCUGGGGGAACCGGGGCUCUCUGGGAGCACAGGCCCCAGGCUGCCAUCAGAGGACCAGCCAGAGGGACUUUCUUUACAAGAUAACUCAGGCAAGGUAGACAUCACUGGAUGGACAAGGCUGAGCUUGGGACCAACGCCAGGGUCUGUACAGCCAGGCUUGGGACCCGGCCCAGGGACUGCACCCAGCUGCAUAUUGUCCAUGCUGGCUGGCGAGGAUGAAGGGGCAGAGCUAGAAAGUCCUCAGGUCUCCACUCAACACUCACUCCCCUGGGAAGUCUGGAUGCCCCUCUAUCCAUCCCCAUCCCUACCUGCCACCACAGUGAACGGCUGUCUCCUCAUCAGGAUGCCAACUUCACAAGGCCACAGGUCUUUGCAUAUUAUGUUCAUCGCUAUAUCCCAGGAGCCUAGAACAGUGCCUGGCACUGUUCCCCAAAUGCUUGAUGGAGAAACAGAGGCUCACAGAGGUUAAGUAAAUUGCCCAAGGACGCACAGCUGAAAGGAAGGACUUCCCUGGUGGCGCAAUGGUUAACAAUCUGCCUGCCAAUGCAGGGGACAGGGGUUCAAUCCCUGGUCCUGGAAGAUCCCACAUGCUGUGGAGCAACUAAGCCUGUGCGCCACAACUACUGAGCCUGCGCUCUAGAGCCCGCGAGCCACAACUACUGAAGCCUGCAUGCCUAGAGCCCGUGCUCCACAACAAGAGAAGCCACCACAACGAGAAGCCCGUGCACCGCAAUGAAGAGUAGCCCCAGCUUGCCACAACUAGAGAAAGCCUGCACACAGCAAUGAAGACCCAAUGCAGCCAAAAAUAAAUAAAUAAAUAAAUAAAUUUAUUUAAAAAAGAAAAAUAAAUACCAAAGAAAAUUCUUUAAGCCAACAGGAAAUUAUCUCAGACUGAAGGCCAGAUCUGCAGGAAGAAUCAAUAAUAUAAGAAAUGGUAAGUAUUUGGGUAAAUAUAAAAGACUAUUUUUUUUUGUUUUUAAAGCAAAAAUAAUAAGCAAUUUGUGUGGGAUUUAUAACAUAUGUAUAAAUAA